rfam:Gossypium hirsutum cultivar TM-1 chromosome 4, whole genome shotgun sequence
UAUUAAAAUUUUCAUCUAUUUGUACUAUUAAAAAUUGGCAUGAUUGACAGAAUAACUAGACAGUGACAUGUGGCCUGCUAUGUGUACGUCGUAUUAAUGUAUAUGGAUCAGCUUUUAACAACAUAAAUAGAUAAAAACUUUUAUA